UGAUCUCUUCAUCCACUGAGUGGCAUCUGGGUUGAUUCCAUGUCUCGAUUAUGGUAAAUAGUGCUGCAGUAGUUAGGUUGGGUUUUGUGUUUUAGACUGUGCUAAACUUCAGACUUCAAUCCUAUCUAGGACCUCCUGAGUAGCUGAGAUCAUAGGCACACACUCACUAUUCCUAGUAACUGUUUGAAAUGGAGUUUCAUUUACAUUUUUUUCCA